rnacentral:rRNA from 1 species
CCUACGGGGGGCUGCAGUGAGGAAUAUUGGUCAAUGGACGCAAGUCUGAACCAGCCAUGCCGCGUGAAGGAUGAAGGCGUUAUGCGUUGUAAACUUCUUUUAUCUGGGAAGAAACCCGAGUAUUCUUAUUCGGCCGACGGUACCAGAGGAAUAAGCACCGGCUAACUCCGUGCCAGCAGCCGCGGUAAUACGGAGGGUGCAAGCGUUAUCCGGAUUUACUGGGUUUAAAGGGUGUGUAGGCGGACUUUUAAGUCAGCGGUGAAAUCUCCGGGCUC